CGCCUACCAACCCACAAACGCAAAAAAGGAGGGUGUGUAUUGUGGGAGAACAUAAGAGUUACCUAUUUCUUCAACUGCUCAACUUAUUAUAUAUUUCAGGUUUGAGAGAAAGAAAAUAGUACACCAUGUCAGAUGAUGAUAACCCUAAAGCAAAGCCCAGGAAAGGGCCUCUCUUUUAUGGAAGCAUAUUUGCUUUCAUUGGUGGUGUUCUGCUGCUGAUGUCAUUUUGCAGUCCGUACUGGCUGCAGUCAUAUGAAAUCGCCUACUUGGACUUCAAGAACAUGGGUCUGUGGGAAGUCUGCUUUGUCAACUUCCGGUACCCCAACAACCAGUUUGACCACAAGUUCACUGGUUGUCACUGGGUGUUCAGCAACGAGUACCGCAUCAUCAGAGAGUGGAUUCUGCCUGCGUGGCUGCAGGCGGUGCAGGCGUUCGUCACGCUGGCCUUCGUGGCCAGCUUCGGCGGCCAGGUGGUGGUGGCCAUGAUGCUGAUGAAGCUGCCGCUCUUCCUGUGGCGCCGCUUCCAGCUGGAGAUGACCGUCACAGCGCUCACCAUGAAGCUCGUUACCGUGGCGACGCUGUUUCUGGCGCUGGCCAUUUUCGGCGGCAAGUGCUGGGACCGCGACUGGCUCAUGUACCCCAACUACAACUUCCUCUCGUGGUCGUACUACAUGGCCGCCUUCUCUUGCAUGUUCCACGCGUUCGCCGCCAUCCUCUAUGGCAUGGAGAUGAAUGCCAUCCGGCGCCGCCAGUUGGAACAGAGCAACAUUCUGAUGCACAUGCAGCCGGCCGAGUCGCACCACGGUUCGGCGUACAUCUGAGCCGGUCCCGGGCCCCGGGCCGCCGGCGAGGGCCAUGUAUGCAGACCGCACCCGCCGGCCGACCAGCCGCUCACCCGCCCCGCCCGCCUCUGUCUCACCUGUACCAGGUGAAGCAGCUGAUGCCUACCGACUACCACCUGGACCGGCUCAGCCGCCACGGUCUCUACGAGUACGGCAACGAGUACGGCAGCGAGCCCGGCUACCAGUACGGCGGCUACCCACCCUCGGUGCCCUCCGUCGCCCCGUCCGUGGUCGCCCCCUCGCCGGCGCCCUACCAGCGCGUCGAGAACGAUAACGAGGUGUUCGUUCACGACCCGAGCAACGGCGCCCGCUACUGAGGCGGCGCGGUUCGGUCGGCCGUCGGUAGAUGGUGUGCGCGUCGGCGGCCGCCGAUGCGCGCCCAUAGUUGGUGCGUUCAUGUGCUAUAACACAUUCCGUCCGCUCGAUUGUGACUAUCGACUUGUUAGCGUGGAUCUGAGCAGAUCUAAGCUGGUUGAAGCAAUUUGUACCCGGUAUUUGUAAGUUUUUUUUUUUUUUUGCUGAGACGUGGCAGUCCCCGACGUUCACGCGAGCACACACGCUUCGGCAUUUGCACAUCACACUCAGCUUUUUGCGGAGGCUUUCAGUUAUUGGCGUCAUUCCAUCGAAAGGCUGUCUGUGUCGCUUUGUUUCGCAUUAUGUAUCGCUAGCAUAGGAUAGUUAGUUUAUACUAGUUUAUAAGCAUGGUACCUUCACAGAUCUUCCAACCUUGAAUAUUUUUUACGAACAAAUUGCAAGCUAAGCCACAGUUGGGUUGGUAGAGUCGUGGGCGUCUUCGCUCUUCGAAGACUUUCUUCUGAGAUGUGUCUGUGAAAGGUUCACCCCUGUAAAUGUGUACCAUACAAGCAUUGUGAUUAAAAUGUACUACCGGCAGCUAUUUUUAGCACAUCGCUUGUUUGUAUCGCUGUACGUAGGUCUGUCGUGCGAGGAGUGAGGACGCGCCGUUUCGUCGCCUCUCUAGUACGGACAGAGUGUAUGUGCCUUCACGCUGGCACACUGCCGCUCUCGGUCGCUCGCUCCCGGUCCGGUGCGGACCCCGGUACCCAUGAGCCUGGCCCAUGCGAUACGUGAGCUCGACUGUCCAGAACGGCGUUUGUCUGUCCCGCGAAAUAAACACGCACAUAAAACCA